rnacentral:rRNA from 1 species
UACGUAGGGUGCAAGCGUUAAUCGGAAUUACUGGGCGUAAAGCGUGCGCAGGCGGUUAUGUAAGACAGGUGUGAAAUCCCCGGGCUUAACCUGGGAACUGCAUUUGUGACUGCAUAGCUAGAGUACGGUAGAGGGGGAUGGAAUUCCGCGUGUAGCAGUGAAAUGCGUAGAUAUGCGGAGGAACACCGAUGGCGAAGGCAAUCCCCUGGACCUGUACUGACGCUCCAUGCACGAAAGGCGUGGGGAGCAAACAGG